GAUGGGCUGUAAGUCAGUGGCAGAGCAUCUGCUUUGCAUACAGAAGGUCCCAAGUUCAAAUCUCGGUAUCUUCA